GUAGGUGAACCUGCGGAAGGAUCAUUAGUGAAUAACUCUUGGAGCAUGCCUUAACGGGUGUGCUUCUGGUCUGAUGGAGCCUCGUCUCCUGAAGAUUUAUGUUUUUUUUACAUCCAUAACACCUGUGAACUGUUGGAGACUUUGGUUGGGCUUCGGUCCUUCCACUGGCUCUAUUAUACCAAACUACGUAUUGUAACAAAUGUAAACUUAUUUUAAACAAAAUAAAACUUUUAACAACGGAUCUCUUGGCUCUC
rnacentral:misc_RNA from 1 species